GAUGAACGCUGGCGGCGUGCUUAACACAUGCAAGUCGAACGAUGAAGCUCAGCUUGCUGGGUGGAUUAGUGGCGAACGGGUGAGUAACACGUGAGUAGCCUGCCCUUAACUCUGGGAUAAGCCUGGGAAACUAGGUCUAAUACCGGAUAGGAGCGCCUACCGCAUGGUGGGUGUUGGAAAGAUUUAUCGGUUUUGGAUGGACUCGCGGCCUAUCAGCUUGUUGGUGAGGUAAUGGCUCACCAAGGCGACGACGGGUAGCCGGCCUGAGAGGGUGACCGGCCACACUGGGACUGAGACACGGCCCAGACUCCUACGGGAGGCAGCAGUGGGGAAUAUUGCACAAUGGGCGAAAGCCUGAUGCAGCGACGCCGCGUGAGGGAUGACGGCCUUCGGGUUGUAAACCUCUUUCAGUAGGGAAGAAGCGAAAGUGACGGUACCUGCAGAAGAAGCACCGGCUAACUACGUG
rnacentral:rRNA from 1 species